rnacentral:rRNA from 1 species
UACGAAGGGGGCUAGCGUUGCUCGGAAUCACUGGGCGUAAAGCGCACGUAGGCGGGUCGUUAAGUCGGGGGUGAAAUCCUGGAGCUCAACUCCAGAACUGCCUCCGAUACUGGCGAUCUUGGAGUCCGGGAGAGGUGAGUGGAACUCCGAGUGUAGAGGUGAAAUUCGUAGAUAUUCGGAAGAACACCAGUGGCGAAGGCGGCUCACUGGCCCGGUACUGACGCUGAGGUGCGAAAGCGUGGGGAGCAAACAGG